rnacentral:rRNA from 1 species
GAUGAACGCUGGCUACAGGCUUAACACAUGCAAGUCGAGGGGAAACGACGGGGAAGCUUGCUUCCCCGGGCGUCGACCGGCGCACGGGUGAGUAACGCGUAUCCAACCUGCCUCUGACUGAGGGAUAACCCGUCGAAAGUCGGCCUAAUACCUCAUGGCAUCGUCUGCGGGCAUCCAACGACGAUUAAAGAUUUCAUCGGUCAGAGAUGGUGAUGCGUCUGAUUAGCUUGUUGGCGGGGUAACGGCCCACCAAGGCGACGAUCAGUAGGGGUUCUGAGAGGAAGGUCCCCCACAUUGGAACUGAGACACGGUCCAAACUCCUACGGGAGGCAGCAGUGAGGAAUAUUGGUCAAUGGGCGAGAGCCUGAACCAGCCAAGUAGCGUGCAGGAUGACGGCCCUAUGGGUUGUAAACUGCUUUUAUGCGGGGAUAAAGUGAGGGACGUGUCCUUCAUUGCAGGUACCGCAUGAAUAAGGACCGGCUAAUUCCGUG